rnacentral:rRNA from 1 species
UACAGAGGUGACAAACGUUGUCCGGAAUUAUUGGGCGUAAAGGGCGCGUAGGUGGUUGAGUAAGUCAGGUGUGAAAGCUCUGGGCUUAACCCAGGAAUUGCAUCUGAUACUGCUCGGCUUGAGUACGGUAGAGGAGGGUGGAAUUCCCAGUGUAGCUGUGAAAUGCGUAGAUAUUGGGAGGAACACCGGUGGCGAAGGCGGCCCUCUGGACCGAAACUGACACUGAAGCGCGAAAGCUAGGGGAGCAAACGGG